rnacentral:pre_miRNA from 1 species
AUGUCUUGGUUAAAUUCAAUAUAUAUAGUCCAAUCUAUUGAAGUACUAGUACACCAGCUCUAAUAAGCUGAUGUGGGUAAGUAGUUCAAUAGAUUGGACUAUGUAUAUUAAAUUUGACUAAGAGAU